AUGGCGAUGAGAGACGGACUAAACUUGGCAAAUAGCCUAGGGUUCCAGCGGGUUGAAGCGGAAUCCGACUCGCUAACGGUGAUCAACUGCUGUUCCGGUCAGAGUACUUGGUGGGACGCGACAGCAACGAUAUUCAUGAAAUGUAUGGACAUCUCUACCUUGAUUGAAAAGGUCAAGUUUAAGUAUUGCUUUCGGUCAGCAAAUCAAACGGGGCAUGCGCUAGCUAGGUUUAGUUAUUAUAAUAAAAUUUCUUCUAGUUGGACCGACGAGUCUCUAGAUUGUCUCAUGAGCAAACUCGUAGAUAAUGUAUCUCUACUGAUUAAUCAAUAA
rnacentral:rRNA from 1 species